GUUUUGGUGACGUUGGUACAUAUCACUGGAGGGAUCGCACCUUCGUAUCAGGAGAAAAGUAGAGAAGUGAAGUUACUACAUGAAGAAUUUGGCCAGAUUUCCAGCUCCUGCAUCCAUUAGCACAAGCAUUUCAUUUCAAGAAGCUGCUGCCACAACUUCAAAGAAGGCAUACAAACUCCUAAGCCUAAAGGAUGAAAUCAGUUCUGUGGGUGUCAAAUGAGUGGUGCAUGUGAAAACUCCUUGAAAAGGAUGAGGACUUUGGCGAGUGCUCAAGACAGCAAGUAAGGAUUCAGUAAGUUUUCUACAGAUGAACGCAGGACCUUUAAACAGCAUGCUGUACAUUUCUCACCUUCUGGAAGGACAAAUGUAAAGAAGAAAUGAUCACCUUAAGCUAUGCAAUGCUAAAUCAGGAAUCAAUUAAAUAGCUGGAUCACUCAUCCCAUCUGGCACAUUUUCACUUCUCAAAUAGCAAAAUUGAUAAAGCUAGUGUUUUUUUAAGUCUAUCAAUAAAAUGCCUCUCAUAGAGUAUAUUAUAAUAAUAUUUCUGGAACUAUAUCUCUUCCUGUUUGCUUGAUUGCAAAAUCAUCUACCCUCAUUAACUUCUUGAGGCAGAUCAAAAAACGAGUUUGAAAGAGAUACAAUUUAUCUAAGUAUACCUAACAUUUUGGUUGAAAGAUAUUUUAUAAACUUAGGGCAUUCCAGACUUUCUAUUUAAUUAAAAGCUUUUAUUAAGCAUUAGAACACUGUGGUUGGUAAAAGUAUUGUUUCCAUUUCUUAGCAUGUAUAUUUUGUCCAUCAUUUGCAUUAAUAUAUAUUAGUUUAAAAUUCAUAGGCUUCUGAUUUCAAAGUCUAUAUGUUAUUUAUGUAACCUCUGUUCUCUGUAACAGAAUAAAAAUGCAAAGUGAAUUGAAAUGCUUUUCAACUUCCUCAAAUAUU